CCUACGGGUGGCAGCAGUGGGGAAUAUUGCACAAUGGGCGCAAGCCUGAUGCAGCGACGCCGCGUGCGGGAUGGAGGCCUUAGGGUUGUAAACCGCUGUUGUUCAAGGGCAAGGCACGGGCGUGGGCCGGGUUGAGUGGAUGGUUCGAAUAAGCACCGGCUAACUACGUGCUAGCAGCCGCGGGAAUACGUAGGGUGCAAGCGUUAUCCGGAUUUAUUGGGCGUAAAGGGCUCGUAGGCGGUUCGUCGCGUCCGGUGGGAAAGUCCAUCGCUUAACGGUGGGUCCGCGCCGGGUACUGGCGGGCUUGAGUGCGGUAGGGGAGACUGGAAUUCCCGGUGUAGCGGU
rnacentral:rRNA from 1 species